UGCUGCUCAAAGCUUCUUCAGCAGAGUUGGGUCCCGGUAGAUGCCACCGCUGGUCUAUUGUCUGGCCUGGUGGCCAUGUCUGUGGAUUGAUUGUGCUGUUGAGAUCGGGGCUGUGAGAUCAUCGACAGCGAUUCAAAAUCGUCGUAGUUCUAGUUGCCGGUUCUUUUUCCCCGUGUCUGUCGAGGGUUUUGGAAACUCGUUCUGGCGUGUUAUGACUGGCAAGCGUGGUGUGGAGGAGUGUUUUUUUGUUUUUUUGUUUUUUUGUUUUUCUUUUUGUGACUCGUUUGGGGUUAGGGUCUAGAGAUGGCGGGUGAAAGGAUUUUUGGUAUUUUGUUCCGGAAGUGGCCUCGCCUUGCGAUGAUGCUGUACAGUUUUCUUUGUUUUUGUAGCGGAUUGUUAAAUUCGUGAAGGUAUGAUGUCAGGGAAAUUUUUGUAAGGAUUCUGUGGGUAAGAUGUCAGGUUCUUGUUUUGUGGUGUAUAGAAAUGGGUUGCCGAUCAGGGAAUUGAGAUGUUAGAAUUGUGAGUGGGAUCGGUGUGAAUAAUCGUCCGGAUUAUUUUUUUGUUUUUCAUCAUGUUAUCUGCAAUACACUAUACUUUUAAAGUGGACUGCAAAACCGGCAUAGCUUUCUGGUUAGUGUUUAUGAAGAUGCACAAGUGUACAGCCAUUUAGAACCGGCAGAUUGCUUGUUGUUCUAGGACUUGUUUUUGGUGGAUGGAGAGAUUUAUUCAUUUUGCUGCAAUUAAGCGUCUCCUAAGGAUAUUUUUCAACACUAGUGGGGAGGGAAGUCGUUUACACAGUACGAUGCGGAGCACGUACACAUCGUAACCAUUCUGUAAGCGGAUUUCAGUUCGGAAUGGCACAACUAGCAAUUUGCUGGAAGUUCGAGGGUUUCGGAUAGGUUCUGCCCAGCGUCCAUUCGUGUGAGAGAGUCCUUUUGCGUCGAGACGUUGAAAUGGCACGCUCGUUUGUGGGGCUACAUCUUAGAACGAAAAGAAACAAGAAUCAUAAUAACAAGUACGGCCAUGCUUGCGAUGAGCAGCGCGACCUUAAACUAACUUAGAAUUCUCAUAAUCAGGGCAAACUAAGGUGGAACCGACAGUGAGACGGGCUCAUGAUAAAAAGAUGGAGUCCGGUAAGCUGCAAGUGUGAGCUUGCUCAGUCGAGGCCUUGCUAAAACAGACGUUGAAAGUGAACCUCAUAUUCAUCAACUACACCAGUACCCUCUCUGAUACGGGCGUGCUCAUCUGCACUCAUCUAAACGAAAAAAAACAGGGCUAUAGAUCCCUCUGACGCACUUUUCCACAUUUAUGGGGGAAAACAAUCCCAGUGGCGGGUUGGUGACGGUUUGGGACGAGGAUUGAGCUUCAGAUGAAGAGUUCGUACGGGACGUCAUUUGUUGUCAAUGCUGACACAUGGAGUCUGUCCCGCUGUUUAGUGCAGAUGAAUUAGCAGAGGCUCCUUACCUUGAAUUGCUUUCGUUUCAAAUACUUUUCCUUCUCAGUUGUCGGAAGCUGAAACGCUGGCGCCGACUUCACAAAAUCCCGAUGCAGGCGAAAAACUGUCCCCCCUAUAAUAUCUGAAUCAUUCGGAUUGAGGUUGCUUGGAGUGAAAGGGAGUAUCAUAACUACAAAUUAGGGCUCCGUGGUUAUCCCCUUCUUUGCAUCGUCCUUUGUGCAUGGUCUAGCCCAAGCCUCAGCCUGACUCAGCUGUGCCGCCUCCUGCUUCUUUGUGCUAUCUUUACAUGCGUUCAUGCAAUAAUUCGCAAGGUUGAGAUGAUCAUGAACGGGUAAAUGAGGCCCACUGGAAUUUCUUCAUUGCCCUGAGUAAGUGUCCAAAAUGCUCUCAGCAUUUGCUCUUUAUUCCGAAUGAGUUUCACACAAGUAUGGGAGUAUACGCACCUACGACUCUGAAGCCUACAUUGGUCUGAAAAAAAUCUUCGCAGGAAGUACCAUGAUGAUGAUCGUAUAUCUCAUUGCCGAGCACUUUUUGGCUUUGGAUCUGCCUUUGGUGCUUGGAGCGGUUCAUAGAUGGCGAGAUGCGCCUACAACAAUUGGCCCAAUGGCUCCGGAACGGUGGGAGGCGCUACUGGGUAUCUGAACACGUUCGCUCUGGGACAUGAAGCCAUGACUAUGGCGCUGAGCGUCUCUCUAUUUCUGGGCGGAGCGGCAUGUGGGGGCGUGUUGGCAUGUCAAGUGCCUGUCUGUGCAGGGAAACUGUACUGUGAGGAACUGGUGGUGGAGCCUUUCUGACAAUUACCACUGCCGUAACCAACCUGUGCUCACCCAAUCCUCCAAAGCGUGUAAUGCUCCCAGGCAUCACCUCUGCCUGCCGACGCCCGUCCUUGUAACCUUCGCUAGACGUGAAGAUGGUACAAUACCAGACCUUUGUCGACCUAGAAUUUCGGUUGCAUGUCGAAUGGAUGCUCAACCAUAAAAAAAUCGAGAUCUGUUUCUCACUCGCUCUGUUUCUCGAUAGCUACUCACUCAAGUGAAGCGAGACCCAUGAGGUAGAAUGUAACCGCCAGAAGCCGCAUUUGCACCGAAACCAUUCACUGGUUCUGCAGCUUGAUCGCCAAACAUAGAUAUCUCGCUAGGGAUUAUGGCAGGAAUCACUACUCUGAUGACUAGAACUUUCAAUUUCUAACCGAUUAGGGUUGAUAUCAAAUGCAUCAGUAAUGCUUACCUCUUAGGGGUUGAUGCGAGAUCUUUUGCCAUUAACAGAUCUACAGGAUUGUUGAACUUGAGAGUAUGUUUUGACAGGAUGUGCAGCUUUACGGAAUUGUGAGCAAUCUCGGAAACGCAACACAAUCGGUUGCAGGUUGAAACUACGGGCAGAUUUCUUCACUUCGUUGAUGCUGAAGUGCAAGUCAGAAUAUCUGGAAUCCUAAUUAUUGCAACAAGCUGCAAAUGCCCUUUCAAUGUUUUGUGGACAAUAAAUGUAACCAAUUUUCGGCAUCUAUGGCUUCAGGUAAUUGUCCGCAACAUGGAUUUGGCAACUGCUGGUCGAUCCUGCAAUGGAUAUGCACGUUCUGAUCACGUUGCCACUUCCACUUCUCCUUACAAAUCCAUCUUAUCUUAUUUAUCUGAGCUAGUUCUUUCCAUGAUCUACUAUGUGCAGUGUUAAGAAUUGUCAUCACAGCUAUUGUCUCUUCAUCUGCAUUGUGUUGUGCGUCUAUUUCUGCGUAACGGUCCAUUUCCAAACUUCUUUGAUGAUCGAAACAAUACUUCAUAAAAAUGCACUUGAGAUGCUAUGGAGAGGUUUAUAUAAAAUCAUUCUAACAUCAUAUUAUAUUACUGUGUUUUGGAAGAAGUAAAAAGUACAUGAGUAAUCAAAGAUCUAACAAAUGUAAUACGUGAAUGAAUUUCGAGUAUUUAUUUGUGUAUUUACUUCGUUGAGCAUUUUCAAAACAGAAAAAUCCCUGAUAUAAUGAACGUUCUUAGGAUGAUGUCUACAGCUUGUUGUAGGCAAUAAAACACAGAUAAGAGAAUGUAUGAUUUACAUCCAAAUAAUUUUAAAUGCCAAAGAGCAUUUUGUUUUGAAGA